rnacentral:rRNA from 1 species
GACAGAGGAUGCAAGCGUUAUCCGGAAUGAUUGGGCGUAAAGUGUCUGUAGGUGGCUUUUUAAGUCCGCCGUCAAAUCCCAGGGCUCAACCCUGGACAGGCGGUGGAAACUACCAAGCUGGAGUACGGUAGGGGCAGAGGGAAUUUCCGGUGGAGCGGUGAAAUGCGUAGAGAUCAGGAGGAACACCCAUGGCGAAGGCAGCGCUCUGGUCGGCAUCUGACGCUGAGAGGCGAAAGCGUGGGGAGCGAACGGG